CAUAAUAUGACCUUAAAAAAAUCUAACAGUAAUAUCUGAUUAUUCUCAAUGUGUGUAAAAAUACUAAAGAAAAACAUUUCACCAACAUAAAGAUGCAUAAAAAUGAUAAACAGGAUAACUCACCAUAAACUAAACCAAAACAAAAUGUAAUGGAAUGAUAUUGCAGAAAUGCAAUAAUUAAUAAAAAGAAUAAAGGACUGGAAAGAAAAAGAAAGAGAUAAAAACAAGAAUUUAGCAUCAAAAUGGCAGACA
rnacentral:lncRNA from 1 species